GAGCAAUCUGCCCCUGACUCUGGGAUAAGCGCUGGAAACGGCGUCUAAUACCGGAUACGAGCUGCGGCCGCAUGGUCGGCAGUUGGAAAGAUUUUCGGUCAGGGAUGAGCUCGCGGCCUAUCAGCUUGUUGGUGAGGUAAUGGCUCACCAAGGCGUCGACGGGUAGCCGGCCUGAGAGGGUGACCGGCCACACUGGGACUGAGACACGGCCCAGACUCCUACGGGAGGCAGCAGUGGGGAAUAUUGCACAAUGGGCGGAAGCCUGAUGCAGCAACGCCGCGUGAGGGAUGACGGCCUUCGGGUUGUAAACCUCUUUUAGCAGGGAAGAAGCGAAAGUGACGGUACCUGCAGAAAAAGCGCCGGCUAACUACGUGCCAGCAGCCGCGGUAAUACGUAGGGCGCAAGCGUUAUCCGGAAUUAUUGGGCGUAAAGAGCUCGUAGGCGGUCUGUCGCGUCUGCUGUGAAAUCCCGAGGCUCAACCUCGGGUCUGCAGUGGGUACGGGCAGACUAGAGUGCGGUAGGGGAGAUUGGAAUUCCUGGU
rnacentral:rRNA from 1 species